rnacentral:rRNA from 1 species
CAGCCGCCACGGUAAUACAGAGGGUGCAAGCGUUAAUCGGAAUUACUGGGCGUAAAGCGCGCGUAGGUGGUUCGCCAAGUUGGAUGUGAAAUCCCCGGGCUCAACCUGGGAACUGCAUCCAAAACUGGCGAGCUAGAGUAUGGUAGAGGGUGGUGGAAUUUCCUGUGUAGCGGUGAAAUGCGUAGAUAUAGGAAGGAACAUCAGUGGCGAAGGCGACCACCUGGACUGAUACUGACACUGAGGUGCGAAAGCGUGGGGAGCAAACAGGAUUAGAUACCCCCGUAGUCCCUGUCUCUUAUAC